CAAACCCUAGCUCCUCAGUCCACACUGCCAUCCUCGUCGUGUUGCCGUCCUCUACUCUGCCGGGCCUGGCCACCGCAGCCAUCCUCACCACGCCGUCCACCGCAGCCAUCCUUGCCGUGCUGCCCCCCCCCCCCCCAUCUCCGUUCAGGUCACCAUAGCCAUCCUCACUUCUAAAUCCCUGAUUUGCACCAUAAGUCUCAUCUCCUAGUCUUCUAUAACCCCAAAUUGAUUUGGCUGAUGUAGGGGUGUGGUGAAGAAUGACAUCGGUGAGGACUUACACACUAAUUGGUAGCUGCUCAUUCCUUGUUUGAAGGUUUAUUAACAUUGGAUAGUAAUCUGUUACCUAUGGCUGAUUACCUAAGGUGUACGUGUUGAACAACUGCUCCUGAGCACAAAGGCCUGAAAUAAUAGGUGACCUCAAAAAUUUGGUUGUGUAUAUUACCUAUGGAUAAAAGAUGGAUGGACUUUCCGAGGCACACAUCUGAAUAUAUACAGGGGGUCAAAGAGUUUAUAGAAUAUGCUUUUACCCAUUCUGCAAAAGCAAAUACCAUAUUAUGUCCAUGUAGGAAGUGUGUGAACAGUUGUUGGAAGGAAGCUGAUGAUAUCUAUGUCCAUUUAAUAUGUGAUGGGUUUUUAGAAGGGUAUAAGAAAUGGAUAUUUCAUGGAGAACCGACAUAUUCUUUUGCACAGUAUGCACAACAAACUGGGGCUAAUGAAUUUGUGGUGGAAGAUAAUUCAGAGGAAGAUAAUGAGAUGUUUGAACUGCUUAAUGAUGUAGCACAUGGAUUAGAUACAGGGGAUUUAGGUGAAAAUAAUGAUAGUUUUGUGGAUCCAAGUGAAGGGGAAAAUGAUUUGCAUGAAUCAUUCUGUGAUGCAAGUAAAGAGCUUUAUCCAGGGAGCAAAAACUUUUCAAAGCUAUGUUUUGUAGUAAAAUUACUCAACAUCAAAUUUCUUGGUGGUUGGAGUGACAAAAGUUUUGACAUGCUACUAGAGUUGCUUAGAGAGGCUUUUCCUGAGGGGUCAACAAUUCCUAAGAAUUUUAACAAAGCUAAGAAAAUGAUCAGAUGUUUUGGGCUUGGAUAUGUUAACAUUCAUGCGUGUGAAAACGAUUGCAUAUUAUUUCGAAAGCAGUAUGAGAAUGCAAAUAUAUGUCCCAAAUGUAACACUUCUCGUUGGAAAACAGUUAAGAAAAGUCCUGAUGGGAAGCGGUUGUAUAAUGUUCCUAGAAAGGUUCUCCGUUAUUUUCCACUAAAGAAGAGGCUUCAAAAAUUGUAUAUGUCUCCUAAGUCAGCAACUGAUGCACGGUGGCACGACGAGGCACGCACUACGGAUGGAUUAUUGAGGCAUCCAGCUGAUUCUCCAGCUUGGAAGCAUUUUGACUGCAAACAUCCAAAAUUUUCUGAAGAUAGCCGCAAUAUCAGGCUAGCUUUAGCUACCGAUGGCUUUAAUCCAUUUAGAUCGAUGAACUGCAGUUAUAGCAUUUGGCCUGUUAUCUUAAUUCCAUUGAAUUUCCCCCCUUGGAUCUGCAUGAAGCAACCAAAUUUCAUACUUUCUCUACUAAUUCCUGGCCCUUAUUCACCUGGGAAGGAUAUGGAUGUCUAUUUUGAACCACUAGUAGACAAUCUACUAGAAAUGUUUGAGGGAGGUGUUAUAACUUAUGAUGCUUCAAGGAGUGAGAACUUUCAAUUGCGUGCUGCCAUAAUAUAUACUAUUACUGAUUUUCCUGGCUUGGGCUAUGCUGCUGGAUGUGUAACUUCAGGCAAGCUAGCAUGCCCUCAUUGUAACUCACAAACUUGUUCUAUUCGUUUAAAGAAUGGUGGCAAAACUUGUUACAUGGCCCACCGAAGGUUCUUAGAUGCAAAUCAUAAAUUUAGGUUUGAUGAGGCAUCAUUUGAUGGAAAUGUAGAGUUAAGGUCAGCACCAAAACCACUAACUGGAGAAGAGAUUUUGGAUCAGACAAAGGAUCUACCUAUAAAUUUUGGAAAGGAUCCCAAAAAAAAAAGGCCAAGAACAACAGAUAAGGGCAAGGGUACAAAAAAAGAAAUAAUAUGGAAAAGAAAAUCAAUUUGGUUCCGGUUACCAUAUUGGAAAGACUUGUUAGUCCCACAUAACUUUGAUGCCAUGCACAUUGAGAAGAAUGUGUGUGACAACAUCAUUAACACAUUGAUGGGUAUUGAUGGGAAAUCUAAAGAUAACCUGAAUGCUCGAUUAGAUCUCAAACUUCUUAAUAUACGAAAAGAUCUGCAUCCUAUUAAAGUAGGAGAUUCUUUUUUCUUGCCUCCUGCUCCUUUCACAUUGAGUUCUGAAGAGAAGAAAUUGUUCUGUCAAGUUCUCAAAGGAGUGAGAUUUCCAGACGGUCAUGCCUCUGAUCUACGACACCAUGUACAUGUCAAUGAGAAAAAGAUAAUUGGGCUAAAGAGCCAUGACAAUCAUAUCCUGUUGCAAUACUUACUUCCCCUAGCUGUCCGCAAAGUAUUACCAGAAAAUGUUAGUGUAACACUGAUUCUUGUUAGUAACUUCUUCAAGAAAAUCUAUUCUCCUGUUAUUCGAAUAAGUGAUAUGGAAAAAUUAGAUGCAGAAAUUGCUGAAACAUUAAGCCUGCUAGAGACUAUGUUUCUUCCAUCCUUUUUUGAUAUUAUGGUUCACUUAAUGGUACAUCUUCCAACUCAAGCAAGGCUUGCUGGCCCAGUUCAUUACCGGAACAUGUAUCCAGUAGAAAGGUUUUUAAUGAGGUUAAAGGGAUAUGUUCGUACCAAGAGUCAUCCCGAGGGAUCAAUUGCAGAAAGUUAUGUGUUUGAUGAGAGUCUUACAUUUUGCUCCCGUUAUUUGGAAGGAUGCGAAACUAGAUUCUCACGAAAACGAAGAAAUGGUUCAACUGAGCCUUGUACUUCUACCCAUACCAUGCCAUUCUUUUGCAAGAACAUGGGUCGAGAACUAUCUGGCAAGUGUAUUGUGACCUUAGAUUACAAAACAUGGUGUCAAGCUCAUAGAUAUGUCUUGUUUAAUUAUGACCAUAUAGAGCCAUAUUUGAGAAAACAUCUUGACUACCUGUCGUCACUUGGCCAUGAAAAUAACAGAGAAAUCAGUCGUAUUCAUUUUGAGAAGUUCCAUGAGUGGUUUGGGUUUCAUGUGGCAGAAUUAUUACAGAAUGGUGAACAAGUCUCUGAAGAGAUUCAAACCCUAGCUAAUGAGCCUUCUAUAGUUGCAAAGAAAUAAGUUACAGUAUAAAUGGUCAUAUUGUCCACACUAGGUCUUAUGAUGAGGGUAGGUCUGUCCAAUGCAGUGGAGUGGCUCUAGUUGCUCAGAUCUCUUGCUUGUCAUCAGGAACAAAUAAUAUUCCAUUGGUAGGACAUAAGACUUAUUAUGGUGUUAUAACUGAAAUCAUUGAGUUGGAUUAUAAUCACAAAAGAAGCAUUGUGCUCUUCAAGUGUGACUGGGUCGACAAUCGUGUUCAAGAUAAGUGGGUUAAAGUUGAUAAGUUUGGUAUCACUGAUGUUAAUUUCAGGCACCUCUUUAAUACUGGUGAUAAGUUGAGUGAUGAACCUUUCAUUUUGGCAUCCCAAGCAACACAAGUAUACUAUGUUGAUGACCCUGCAUGCAAUGGUUGGAGUGCUGUUAUUCAGACAAAGCCAAGAGAUUUCUAUGAUAUGUCUAAUGUAUUAUUGGAAGAUUUGGAGUGUGAAAAUGAACAUGUAGACCCAUGCCUUGAUAUAAAUGGCCAAACCGACAUUAGUGUUGAUCCUAGAGAUGUACCUCCAACUAGAUUAGAUAUAGAUGGAACACUUGUUGGAUCAAGUGAAAAGCGAAAGAAAAAAAUGGCAGGCGGAGAAGGCAAUAAGUACGAGGAAGAGAGGCAAGAAAGGAUAAGGCGAAAUAAUGAAGCCCUUCAAAAAGUUAUUGCUAUAAGAAGGGAGUUGGAUAACACUCAGGAAGGUAAUCCUGGGUCAGGAUCUUCUGAUAAAUCGAAGCAAAAGAGAAAG